rnacentral:rRNA from 1 species
GAUGAACGCUAGCGGCAGGCUUAACACAUGCAAGUCGAGGGGUAUAGUUCUUCGGAACUAGAGACCGGCGCACGGGUGCGUAACGCGUAUGCAAUCUACCUUUUGCAGAGGGAUAGCCCAGAGAAAUUUGGAUUAAUACCUCAUGGUACGUGAGAAUGGCAUCAUUUUCACAUUAAAGUCACAACGGCAAAAGAUGAGCAUGCGUCCCAUUAGCUGGUUGGUAAGGUAACGGCUUCACAAGGCAACGAUGGGAAGGGGUGCUGAGAGGGAGAUCCCCCACACUGGUACUGAGACACGGACCAGACUCCUACGGGAGGCAGCAGUGAGGAAUAUUGGACAAUGGGCGCAAGCCUGAUCCAGCCAUGCCGCGUGCAGGAUGACGGUCCUAUGGAUUGUAAACUGCUUUUGUACAGGAAGAAGCACUGGUUCGUGAACCAGCUUGACGGUACUGUAAGAAUAAGGAUCGGCUAACUCCGUGCCAGCAGCCGCGGUAAUAC